GGCGGACGUCUGCCGCUGGCACCAAACUCUUGUUGUUUAUCGUACCGUGUGAGCUCUAGAAAAAUCGUUAAAACUUUCAGCAACGGAUCUCUUGGUUCUGGCAUCGAUGAAGAACGCAGCGAAAUGCGAUAAGUAAUGUGAAUUGCAGAAUUCAGUGAAUCAUCGAAUCUUUGAACGCACAUUGCGCCCGCUAGUAUUCUAGCGGGCAUGCCUGUCCGAGCGUCAUUUCUACCCUCUAGCGCUGUCCGCUAGGUGUUGGGGCCCUGCAGGCCGUCCCCUGCAGGCCCUGAAAGUCAGCGGCGGGACCGCCGGUGUUUCGAGCGCAGUAGCACACUUACGCCCUGGAGCACCGGCGGCCGCUGGCCGUUAAACCCCCAGACCACACAAGGUUGACCUCGGAUCAGGUAGGACCACCCGCUGAACUUAAGCAUAUCAAUAAGCGGAGGAA
rnacentral:rRNA from 1 species